rnacentral:rRNA from 1 species
UACGAAGGGGGCUAGCGUUGCUCGGAAUCACUGGGCGUAAAGGGUGCGUAGGCGGGUUUUUAAGUCAGGGGUGAAAUCCUGGAGCUCAACUCCAGAACUGCCUUUGAUACUGAAGAGCUUGAGUCCGGGAGAGGUGAGUGGAACUGCGAGUGUAGAGGUGAAAUUCGUAGAUAUUCGCAAGAACACCAGUGGCGAAGGCGGCUCACUGGCCCGGUACUGACGCUGAGGCACGAAAGCGUGGGGAGCAAACAGG